GACGAAGGUGGCAAGCGUUGUUCGGAAUCACUGGGCUUAAAGCGCACGUAGGCGGCCCUUCAAGCGUCUUGUGAAAUCCCCCGGCUCAACCGGGGAAUGGCUGGGCGAACUGAAGGGCUUGAGGCAGGUAUGGGCAGGUGGAACUCUUGGUGGAGCGGUGGAAUGCGUAGAUAUCAAGAGGAACGCCGGUGGUGAAGACGACCUGCUGGGCCUGUUCUGACGCUGAGGUGAGAAAGCCAGGGGAGCAAACGGG
rnacentral:rRNA from 1 species